CCUCUAUUUCUUGGCAUGCAGGAUGUUGCAGUACUCCUGUGUGUAAUGUUCGGAGGCAGAUUAUAGCCGGUGCUAUGUCUUCGGUGCCAGCUCGUUCGUGGGUUGGUUCUAUCCUCAAUCACUGGUACAAGC